CGUAGGUGGCAAGCGUUGUCCGGAAUUAUUGGGCGUAAAGCGCGCGCAGGCGGUCCUUUAAGUCCGAUGUGAAAGCCCACGGCUCAACCGUGGAGGGUCAUUGGAAACUGGGGGACUUGAGUACAGAAGAGAAGAGUGGAAUUCCACGUGUAGCGGUGAAAUGCGUAGAGAUGUGGAGGAACACCAGUGGCGAAGGCGACUCUUUGGUCUGUAACUGACGCUGAGGCGCGAAAGCGUGGGGAGCAAACAGGAUUAGAUACCCUGGUAGUCACGCUGUAAACGAUGAGUGCUAAGUGUUAGAGGGUUUCCGCCCUUUAGUGCUGCAGCUAACGCAUUAAGCACUCCGCCUGGGGAGUACGGCCGCAAGGCUG
rnacentral:rRNA from 1 species